UCCAGACUCCUACGGGAGGCAGCAGUGGGGAAUAUUGCACAAUGGGGGAAACCCUGAUGCAGCGACGCCGCGUGAGUGAAGAAGUAUUUCGGUAUGUAAAGCUCUAUCAGCAGGGAAGAAAAUGACGGUACCUGAUUAAGAAGCCCCGGCUAACUACGUGCCAGCAGCCGCGGUAAUACGUAGGGGGCAAGCGUUAUCCGGAUUUACUGGGUGUAAAGGGAGCGUAGACGGCAGCACAAGUCUGGAGUGAAACCCCGGGGCUCAACCCCGGGACUGCAUUGGAAACUGGCGGGCUGGAGUGUCGGAGGGGCAGGCGGAAUUCCUGGUGUAGCGGUGAAAUGCGUAGAUAUCAGGAGGAACACCGGUGGCGAAGGCGGCCUGCUGGACGACAACUGACGCUGAGGCUCGAAAGCGUGGGGAGCAAACAGGAUUAGAUACCCGAGUA
rnacentral:rRNA from 1 species